ensembl:rRNA 5S_rRNA 5S ribosomal RNA
AUCUACGGCCAUACCACUCUGAACACGCCCCAUCUCGUCUGAUCUCGGAAGCUAAGCAGGGUCGGGCCUGGUUAGUGCUUGGAUGGGAGAUGGAGUCUCGCUCUGUCACUCAGGCUGGAGUGCAGU